rnacentral:rRNA from 1 species
AGGCAGCAGUGGGGAAUUUUGGACAAUGGGCGAAAGCCUGAUCCAGCAAUGCCGCGUGCAGGAAGAAGGCCUUCGGGUUGUAAACUGCUUUUGUACGGAACGAAAAGGUCUGCCCUAAUACGGCGGGCCCAUGACGGUACCGUAAGAAUAAGCACCGGCUAACUACGUGCCAGCAGCCGCGGUAAUACGUAGGGUGCGAGCGUUAAUCGGAAUUACUGGGCGUAAAGCGUGCGCAGGCGGUUAUGUAAGACAGUUGUGAAAUCCCCGGGCUCAACCUGGGAAUUGCAUCUGUGACUGCAUAGCUAGAGUACGGUAGAGGGGGAUGGAAUUCCGCGUGUAGCAGUGAAAUGCGUAGAUAUGCGGAGGAACACCGAUGGCGAAGGCAAUCCCCUGGACCUGUACUGACGCUCAUGCACGAAAGCGUGGGGAGCAAACAGGAUUAGAUACCCUGGUAGUCCACGCCCUAAACGAUGUCAACUGGUUGUUGGGUGCAUUAGUACUCAGUAACGAAGCUAACGCGUGAAGUUGACCGCCUGGGGAGUACGGCCGCAAGGUUGAAACUCAAAAGAAUUGACGG